rnacentral:hammerhead_ribozyme from 1 species
AUCUAGAUGACGAGUCCCAAUUAGAAAGAAACGCAUGUCCUGGAU